rnacentral:rRNA from 1 species
AGUGAACGCUGGCGGUAGGCCUAACACAUGCAAGUCGAACGGCAGCACAGUAAGAGCUUGCUCUUACGGGUGGCGAGUGGCGGACGGGUGAGGAAUACAUCGGAAUCUACUUUUUCGUGGGGGAUAACGUAGGGAAACUUACGCUAAUACCGCAUACGACCUACGGGUGAAAGCAGGGGAUCUUCGGACCUUGCGCGAUUGAAUGAGCCGAUGUCGGAUUAGCUAGUUGGCGGGGUAAAGGCCCACCAAGGCGACGAUCCGUAGCUGGUCUGAGAGGAUGAUCAGCCACACUGGAACUGAGACACGGUCCAGACUCCUACGGGAGGCAGCAGUGGGGAAUAUUGGACAAUGGGCGGAAGCCUGCUCCAGCCAUACCGCGUGGGUGAAGAAGGCCUUCGGGUUGUAAAGCCCUUUUGUUGGGAUAGAAAAGCAGCAGGUUAAUACCCCGCUGUUCUGACGGUACCCAAAGAAUAAGCACCGGCUAACUUCGUG